rnacentral:tRNA from 1 species
GCUCCUGAAGUUCAAGGGAUGAACAUUCGCCUCCUAAGCGAACGGUUGCUGGUUCGAAUCCAGUCAGGAGCAC